rnacentral:rRNA from 1 species
AGAUUGAACGCUGGCGGCAUGCCUAACACAUGCAAGUCGAACGGGAGUAGCAAUACUCUAGUGGCGGACGGGUGAGGAAUACGUAGGAAUUUGCCCUUAAGUGGGGGAUAACCCGGGGAAACCCGGAUUAAUACCGCAUGACCUCGAAAGAGCAAAGUGGGGGAUCGCAAGACCUCACGCUUUUGGAGAAGCCUACGUCGGAUUAGCUAGUUGGUGAGGUAAUGGCUCACCAAGGCGACGAUCCGUAACUGGUCUGAGAGGAUGAUCAGUCACACCGGAACUGAGACACGGUCCGGACUCCUACGGGAGGUAGCAGUGGGGAAUAUUGGACAAUGGGGGCAACCCUGAUCCAGCCAUGCCGCGUGUGAAGAGGCCUUAGGGUGUAAAGCACUUUCAGUGGGGAGGAAAAGCUGGCGGCUAAGUAUCCGUCGGCCCUGACGUUACCCACAGAGAAGCACCGGCAAACUCCGCGCCAGCAGCCGC